rnacentral:tRNA from 1 species
ACCUGGGUGGCUCAGUCGGUUGAGCAUCCGACUUUGGCUCAGGUCACGAUCUAACGGUCUGUGGGUUCAAGCCCCGCGUCAGGUU